GACCGCGUAGCUCAGUUGGAAGAGCAUUGGGCUAGUAUUCCAAAGGUCGUAGGUUCGUAUCCGACCGUGGCCG